CCUACGGGACGCAGCAGUGAGGAAUAUUGGUCAUUGGGCGCUAGCCUGAACCAGCCAAGUAGCGUGAAGGAUGACUGCCCUAUGGGUUGUAAACUUCUUUUAUAUGGGAAUAAAGUGCAGUAUGUAUACUUCUUUGCAUGUACCUUAUGAAUAAGGAUCGGCUAACUCCGUGCCAGCAGCCGCGGUAAUACGGAGGAUCCGAGCGUUAUCCGGAUUUAUUGGGUUUAAAGGGAGCGUAGGCGGGUUGUUAAGUCAGUUGUGAAAGUUUGCGGCUCAACCGUAAAAUUGCAGUUGAUACUGGCAUCCUUGAGUACAGUAGAGGUAGGCGGAAUUCGUGGUGUAGCGGUGAAAUGCUUAGAUAUCACGAAGAACUCCGAUUGCGAAGGCAGCCUGCUGGACUGUAACUGACGCUGAUGCUCGAAAGUGUGGGUAUCAAACAGGAUUAGAUACCCUAGUAGUC
rnacentral:rRNA from 1 species